ensembl:lncRNA
GGAGGGAGGCAGAAGCUCUGGGUACAAGCAUCCCAGUCCAGUGGUGGAGACUUAAGAAAAACCCGGCACUGUGUCCUUAUGGACCUGGCUUUCCAGACAGUGCCUAGAAGGUGGAAGGACCCUGGGAGGAAGGAAAGCUCAGCCAGGACCGGGAAGAAACCAGCAUCCCUGGGGCGCGUUCCUGGAAACGUCUCUUACUGCAGCAAGAUCUCUUACUAGAAGGCGCAGGGAAGUCUCUCUCCACCUGCCAACCUGAGGCAGGAGAUGGCACCGGGAGUUUUAACAUCUGAGAAGGUUGACUUGAAGGUGGAAUUGAUGGGGAGCAGGACCUGGCCACUCCUAACAGAGGAAUGAUCACAUUAAAAA